rnacentral:rRNA from 1 species
CGACCCCAGGAUGGGCGGG